rnacentral:rRNA from 1 species
UGAGAAUGCCCUCAAAAGUACAAAGGAGCAGGCAUCAGGCACAACCUGUUAGCCCAAGACGCCUCGCCAUGCCACACCCACACGGGCACCCAGCAGUGAUAAAUAUUAAGCAAUGAGUAAAUACCAAACCAAGCUCGACUUAGUUAUGAUCACUAGGGCCGGUCAAUCUCGUGCCAGCCACCGCGGUUAUACGAGAGGCCCAAGCCAGCAGACACCGGCGUAAAUUAUGGCUAGAGCCACUACCCAAAAACUAGGAAAACAAACACAAACUCAACCGUAAAACAUGAGUCAAAAGAAGCUUAAAUUCCUAACCAAAGAGUAACUUGAACCCAUGAAGACUAAGAAACAAACUAGGAUUAGAUACCCUACUAUGCUUAGUUGUUAACACGACACCUAUCAACAAUAGUGUCCGCCAGAGGAUUACACGCGAAAAGCUUAAAACUCAAAGGACUUGGCGGUGCUCCAUACCCGCCUUAGAGGAGCCUGUCCUAUAAUCGAUACUCCACGCUUUACCUUACCAUUUUUUGUCAUUUACAGCCUAUAUACCGCCGUCGCAAACUUACCCCGUGAGGGUAAAGUAGUAAGUAGUAUAGUCACCCACUAACACGUCAGGUCAAGGUGUAGCUUAUAAAAUGGAAGAGAUGGGCUACAUUUUCUAAAACAGAACAUACGGCAAUGGACAUUGAAAAGUGUCCACAAAGGUGGAUUUAAUAGUAAGACAGUAAAGAGAGCCUGUCUAAAACCC